rnacentral:tRNA from 1 species
GGACCUUUAGCUCAGUUGGUUAGAGCAAGCGGCUCAUAACCGCCUGGUCGUAGGUUCGAGUCCUACAAGGUCCA